rnacentral:rRNA from 1 species
UACAGAGGUGGCAAGCGUUGUUCGGAAUUACUGGGCGUAAAGGGCGCGUAGGCGGUCUUGUAAGUUCCGUGUGAAAUCCCUCGGCUCAACUGAGGAACCGCACGGAAAACUGCUUGGCUUGAGUUCGGGAGAGGGAAGCGGAAUUCCGGGUGUAGCGGUGGAAAUGCGUAGAUAUCCGGAGGAACGCCGGUGGCGAAGGCGCUUCCUGG